rnacentral:rRNA from 1 species
UACGUAGGGUGCGAGCGUUUAAUCGGAAUUACUGGGCGUAAAGGGUGCGCAGGCGGUCUCGUAAGCUGGGUGUGAAAGCCCCGGGCUUAACCUGGGAAUGGCAUUCAGGACUGCGAGGCUUUGAGUGCGGCAGAGGGAGGUGGAAUUCCACGUGUAGCAGUGAAAUGCGUAGAGAUGUGGAGGAACACCGAUGGCGAAGGCAGCCUCCUGGGCCAGCCACUGGACGCCUCAUGCACGAAAGCCGUGGGGAGCAAACAGGA